rnacentral:rRNA from 1 species
UACGUAGGUGGCGAGCGUUGUCCGGAAUUACUGGGUGUAAAGCGCGUGUAGGCGGUUGUUCAAGUCAGGUGUGAAAGCCUUGAGCUCAACUCAAGAAAUGCACUUGAUACUGGAUGACUAGAGGACCGGAGAGGAUAGUGGAAUUCCCAGUGUAGUGGUGAAAUACGUAGAGAUUGGGAAGAACACCAGUGGCGAAGGCGGCUAUCUGGACGGUUUCUGACGCUAAGACGCGAAAGCGUGGGGAGCAAACAGG